UACGGGGGGAGCAAGCGUUGUUCGGAUUUACUGGGCGUAAAGGGCGCGUAGGCGGUCAGCACAAGUCAGUUGUGAAAUCUCCGGGCUUAACUCGGAAAGGUCAACUGAUACUGUGCGACUAGAGUGCGGAAGGGGCAACUGGAAUUCUCGGUGUAGCGGUGAAAUGCGUAGAUAUCGGAAGGAACGCCAGUGGUGAAGACGACUACCUGGACCAAUACUGACACUGAGGCGCGAGAGCGUGGGGAGCGAACAGG
rnacentral:rRNA from 1 species